GGAUAACAGGCUGAUACCGCCCAAGAGUUCAUAUCGACGGCGGUGUUUGGCACCUCGAUGUCGGCUCAUCUCAUCCUGGGGCUGAAGCAGGUCCCAAGGGUAUGGCUGUUCGCCAUUUAAAGAGGUACGCGAGCUGGGUUUAGAACGUCGUGAGACAGUUCGGUCCCUAUCUACCGUGGGCGCUGGAAAUUUGAGAGGAUCUGCUCCUAGUACGAGAGGACCAGAGUGGACGAACCUCUGGUGUACCGGUUGUGACGCCAGUCGCAUCGCCGGGUAGCUAUGUUCGGAAGGGAUAACCGCUGAAAGCAUCUAAGCGGGAAGCCUACCUCAAGAUAAGAUUUCCCUAGGACUUUAUGUCCUCUAAAGAGCCGUUCGAGACUAGGACGUUGAUAGGUUGGAUGUGGAAGCAUAGUGAUAUGUGAAGCUGACCAAUACUAAUUGCUCGUGAGGCUUGACUAU
rnacentral:rRNA from 1 species